GAUGAACGCUGGCGGCGUGCCUAAUACAUGCAAGUCGAGCGAACGGACGAGAAGUUUGCUUCUCUGAUGUUAGCGGCGGACGGGUGAGUAACACGUGGACAACCUACCUAUAAGACUGGGAUAACUUCGGGAAACCGGAGCUAAUACCGGAUAAUAUUUUGAACCGCAUGGUUCAAAAGUGAAAGACGGUCUUGCUGUCACUUAUAGAUGGACCCGCGCUGCAUCAGCUAGGUGGUAGGGUAACGGCUUGCCAAGGCGACGAUGCAUAGCCGACCUGAGAGGGGGGUCGGCCACACUGGAGCUGAGACGCGGUCCAGACUCCUACGGGAGGCAGCGGUGGGGAAUCUUCCGCGAAGGGCGAAAGCCUGGCGGAGCAACGCCGCGUGAGUGAUGAGGGUCUUCGGAUCGUAAAACUCUGUUGUUAGGGGAGAACAUAUGUGUGAGUAACUGUGCACAUCUUGACGGUACCUAGUCAGAAAGCCACGGCUAACUACGUG
rnacentral:rRNA from 1 species